rnacentral:ncRNA from 1 species
AAUAAAUUUUUUAUGGUUUAAAAAAUUUAUUUUAAAUUUAUUUUACAUAUAAAUUUUAGUGUUAAUUAUUAAUUAUUUAAAUAAUAUUUAAUAUUUUUGUAGUAAUUAAUUUUAAAAAUUUAAGAAAUUAAGAUUUAGUAAUAUAAAAAUUAAUAACUAAUUUUGUGCCAGCAGUUGCGGUUAUACAAAAGUUAAUUUAAAUUUUUUUGGUAAUUAAUAAAUAUUUUAAUUUAAAUAUAAUUAAAAUUUUAAAUUAUAAAGUGAAAUUUUAAUUUAAUAAAAAAUUAUAUAAUAAUUAUGAUUUAAUAAAUUUUAUAAAAAACUAGGAUUAGAUACCCUAUUAUUAAAAAUUUAAAUUAAUAAUACUUAAAUAGUAGAUAAUUAUUUAUUGAAACUUAAAUAAUUUGGCGGUAUUUUAGUUUAUUUAGAGGAAUCUGUUUAAUAAUUGAUAAUCCACGAAUAAAUUUACUUAAUUUAAUAUUUUGUAUAUCGUUGUUAUAAAAAUAUUUUUUAAUAAUAAUAAUAUUUAAAAAUUUAAAUUAUAAAUUAAAUCAGAUCAAGAUGCAGAUUAUAAUUAAGAAUAUAAUGGAUUACAAUAAAUUUAUUUAUUUGGAUUUUAAUUUGUAAAAAUUAAAUGAAAUUGGAUUUAAAUGUAAUUUUAUUUAAAUUAAUAAAAUGAUUAAAAAUUAAAAUAUGUACAUAUUGCCCGUCGCUUUCAUUUAUAAAUUGAAAUAAGUCGUAACAAAGUAGAGGUACUGGAAAGUGUUUCUAGAAAGAU